rnacentral:ncRNA from 1 species
AAGUUCUUCGGGAUGGAAGGAUAAGAACUUAGUGGCGGACGGGUGAGUAACGCGUGGGUAACCUGCCCUUUUGUGGGGAACAACUUCGAGAAAUCGGAGCUAAUACCGCAUAAUAAUAGAGGAUCGCAUGAUUCUUUAAGGAAAGAUGGCCUCUGAAGAUGCUAUCGCAAAAGGAUGGACCCGCGUCUGAUUAGCUAGUUGGAAGGGUAACGGCCUACCAAGGCAACGAUCAGUAGCCGGCCUGAGAGGGUGAACGGCCACAUUGGGACUGAGACACGGCCCAGACUCCUACGGGAGGCA